rnacentral:rRNA from 1 species
AUUGAACGCUGGCGGCAGGCCUAACACAUGCAAGUCGAACGGUAACAGGAAGCAGCUUGCUGCUUUGCUGACGAGUGGCGGACGGGUGAGUAAUGUCUGGGAAACUGCCUGAUGGAGGGGGAUAACUACUGGAAACGGUAGCUAAUACCGCAUAACGUCGCAAGACCAAAGAGGGGGACCUUAGGGCCUCUUGCCAUCGGAUGUGCCCAGAUGGGAUUAGCUAGUAGGUGGGGUAACGGCUCACCUAGGCGACGAUCCCUAGCUGGUCUGAGAGGAUGACCAGCCACACUGGAACUGAGACACGGUCCAGACUCCUACGGGAGGCAGCAGUGGGGAAUAUUGCACAAUGGGCGCAAGACUGAUGCAGCCAUGCCGCGUGUAUGAAGAAGGCCUUCGGGUUGUAAAGUACUUUCAGCGGGGAGGAAGGGAGUAAAGUUAAUACCUUUGCUCAUUGACGUUACCCGCAGAAGAAGCACCGGCUAACUCCGUG